UACGGAGGGGGCUAGCGUUGUUCGGAAUUACUGGGCGUAAAGCGCGCGUAGGCGGACCUGCAAGUCGGGGGUGAAAGCCCGAGGCUCAACCUCGGAACUGCCUUCGAUACUGCGGGUCUCGAGUCCGGGAGAGGUGAGUGGAAUUCCUAGUGUAGAGGUGAAAUUCGUAGAUAUUAGGAAGAACACCAGUGGCGAAGGCGGCUCACUGGCCCGGUACUGACGCUGAGGCGCGAAAAGCGUGGGGGA
rnacentral:rRNA from 1 species